rnacentral:rRNA from 1 species
AAUUGACGGGACCCGCACAAGCGGUGGAUGAUGUGGUUUAAUUCGAUGCAACGCGAAAAACCUUACCUACCCUUGACAUGUCAAGAAUUUUGCAGAGAUGUGAAAGUGCUCGAAAGAGAACUUGAACACAGGUGCUGCAUGGCCGUCGUCAGCUCGUGUCGUGAGAUGUUGGGUUAAGUCCCGCAACGAGCGCAACCCUUGUCAUUAGUUGCUACCGCAAGGAGCACUCUAAUGAGACUGCCGGUGACAAACCGGAGGAAGGUGGGGAUGACGUCAGGUCCUCAUGGCCCUUAUGGGUAGGGCUACACACGUCAUACAAUGGCCGGUACAGAGGGCUGCCAACCCGCGAGGGGGAGCCAAUCCCAGAAAACCGGUCGUAGUCCGGAUCGUAGUCUGCAACUCGACUGCGUGAAGUCGGAAUCGCUAGUAAUCGCGGAUCAGCUUGCCGCGGUGAAUACGUUCCCGGGUCUU